rnacentral:tRNA from 2 species
GCGAGGGUAGUUCAGUGGUAGAACGCUUCCUUGCCAAGGAAGAGGUCGCGGGUUCAAGUCCCGUUCCUCGCUCCA